CUCUCUGGCUUAGACUGGGAGACUAGUCUAGUUCCUUUUUGGAGCUUGAGAACCAGGGCGGGAGAAUGGCGUCCCUCAAGACCCUCGUGGAUGUGGUUCUCUCAGGCCAACGUUCCUUCCUCGGGGACUGUCCUGGAGAGGCUUUGGCCCUUACCUCUCCCCAGCUCAGCCCCUGGGCCACAGCUCUGGGUCAUACAGCCUCCUAAAAUCCUGAGCUGUUCUUUACUGUGCCACAUUUUUAUCACAUUUGAGUGCCUGCUGUGUGCCAUGCACGUUUCUAAUCCUUAAAUGGAUGAAACAAAAGCCUUAGAUGUUACAGUGGAGAAGAAAAAUCAAGACAAAAAUACCCAAUAUAUCUUAGGGUGACAAAUGCUAAGGAGAAAAACGGAGGAAGGAGUCCCUUCUCUCACUGAUGAGUCUGAAGACGGAACUGGGCUACGAUGGGCAGCCUCCCCCCACGACUCUGAGACCGGCCGACCUAUACAACCUCGUGGACGCACCCAGAAGUGAUGGUUUACCAGCUCCCCGAGCCUCCCUGAGCCCAGUCAAGUUGAUGCAGGAAGUUAACCAUCACAAGUCUUGGGAUAAGAUCGUCCUGGAUUCUCCAGUGGCAUAAAUCCAAUGACAGAUGUCCUUAGGAGGACAGGAAAAGGCAGAGAGAAGUAUGAGACAGGUAGACAGGUAAAGAGUCCACAAGCAGAAGUUGGCAACCCCGAGCCAAGGAAUGCUUGCAGCCACCAGAGGCUGGAAGAGACAAAGAAGGAUCCUCCCCUAGGGCCUGCGGAGGAAGUGUGGGCCUGUCAGCAUCUUGACAUGGGGCUUCUGGCCCCACAAACUGUUCGAAAAUAGAUGUCUGCU